AUCCGAGUGACGAAUCCCAAAUAGGACGAAAUGCGCAUCCCGGAU
rnacentral:hammerhead_ribozyme from 1 species